AUAUUUGAAGUGGGUAAAAAUCUGUAAAGCCACGUUACCAUUAGCACGCAGAGAGCCUUUUCUGGAGAUUGAAAGGAAGUUGAAGAGCUGGGUUAGCUAUCAUCGUAAGCUAUCAUCGUUAGUGAUGGCGUAAACCUGGCAGAAGCCAGAGAAUAUCAUCUAAAUAUUGACAUUUCAAGAAACCGGAUGUAAAGGAAACCAAAGUGAGAUAUGAAACAAUCCAGUGAGGAGAAUAAGAAACCUGCCUAAAAAUGAGUUUUGAAGAGCUUGUUUCAGGCAAGACAUCAGAGAGAAACGGUGUGUGUUGUUGGCUUUAUCUGUCUUGACUCUGCAAGCACAUCUACCCGUUACCUGUGGCUUCUCCCUCCCUCAGGGCUAUGUGGAUGUGAGAGAGGUGACAGGUAGGAGAUGGAGAACCAAGAGGAAGUGGAAGGUUGCACAGACAAAGGUGCUAACAGUGGUAGUGGUAAGAAAUAGUAGGGUUCUGUAUAUAUUUUGAAGGUAUAACCCACAGAAUUUGCUAAUGGAUUGGUUGUAGGAUAUUGGAGAAAGAAGGGAGUCAAAGAUUACAUAUUUUUGGGUUUUUAUUGAUCUGAGAUCUGUAUUUUUUAUUGUGGUGAAAAAUAUAUGACAUAAAAUGUAUUAUAUUAAGCAUUUUUAAUUAUUCAGUUAAAUGGCACUAAGUAAAUUCACAUUGUUGAGCAAUCAUCACCAGUAUCUAUCUCCAGAACUUUUUUAUCAUCCAAAACUGAAACUCUGGGCAUGCGCAGAUCACCUGAGGUCAGGAGUUCAAGACCAGCCUGGCCAUCAUGGUGAAACCACGUCUCUACUAAAACUACAAAAAUUAGCCGGGCAUGGUGGUAGGUGCCUGUAAUUUCAGCUACUCAGGAGGCUGAGGCACAAGAAUCUCUUGACCCCGGGAAGCAGAGGUUGCAGUGAGCCGAGAUCUUUUCUUCUCCCAUGCACUCCAGCCUGGGAGAUAGAGUGAGACUGUAUCUUAAAAAAAUAAUAAUAAAUUGAGACCAAACUGAAACUCUACACCCAUUAAACAAUAAAUCCUCCAUUCCUCCUUGGCCUGGGCCCUGGUAACCACCGUUCUACUUUCUAUCUCUGAAUUUGACUAUUCUAGGUACCUCAUAUAAGUAUAGUUAUACAUUAUUUGUCCUUCUGUGAUUGGCUUAUUUCACAUAGCAUAAUGUUUUCUAGGCUCAUCUAUGAUUUAAUAUUUGUUUAUUACAGACAGUGUGCAUCAAAAUUUCAUUGCUUUUAAGGCUAAGUAAUAUUCCAUUGUAUGUAUAUGCCACAUUUUAUUUUUCCAUUCAUCUGUUGUUGGACAUUUUUUUAAACCACCUUUUGGCUAUUGUGAAUAAUGAUGCUGUGAACACGGGUGUAUAAAGAUCUGUUCAACUCCCUGCCUUCCAUUCUUUUGGGUAUAUUCACAGAAGUAAAAUUGCUGGAUUUUAUGGCACAUCUAUGUUUAAUUGUUUUAGGAACCACCAUCCUGUUUUCCACAGUGACUGUACCACUUUACAUUUCCACUAGCAAUGUGUAUAUGCAAGAGUUCUAAUUUCUUUACACUUUUUUCCAGUCUUAUAAGAAAGUCUAGAUGACUUCUGUACCUUCUUUUCUUCUUUCUUUCUCUUUCUCUCUCUCUCUCUUUUUUUUUUUUUGAGACAAGGUCUUGCUCUGUCACCCAGGCUAGAGUGCAGUGGUGCAAUCAUGGCUCACUGUAGCCUCAAACUCCUGGGCUCAAGCGAUUCUCUCACCUCAGCUUCCUGAGUAGCUGGGACUACAGGUACACACCACCAUGGCCAGCUAAUUUUUGUAGUUUUUUUUGUAGAGAUGGGGUCUCACUAUGUUGCCCAGUUGUCCAGGCUGGUCUUGAAUUCCUGGCCUCAAAUGAUCCUCCUGUCUUUGCCUUCCAAGGAGUUAGGAUUACAGGGAUGAGCCACUGUAAUCCUAACUCCUUGGAAGUGGCCACUCCACAUUCUUGACAACACUUGUUAUUUUCUAUUUUUUUAAUUAAAAAAAUAGACUUCCUAAUUGGUGUGAAGUGGUAUCUCAUUGUGGUUUUGAUUUGCAUUGCCCUAAUGAUUAAGUGAUGUAACACUUUUCGUGUAUUUAUUGAUCAUUUGUAGAAUUGGGUUGUUUGCUUUUUGUUUUUGAGUUAUAGUAGAUAUGUAACCCGAUUUUGAGGUUUUUCUAUAGUAAUAUGUCUAAUCAAGUUUUCUAUUUCUCCUUAGGUCAGUUGAAAAAAAAUUUCUUUUCUGGAAAAUCAUCCAUUUCCUCUUGGUUUUCAAAUUGGUUGUUGAAGAGUUACAUGUGAUAUUUUCUUACACAUUAUCAUUUUCUACCCUGAAUUCUAGUAUUUGCAUACUUCAUAUUGUCUUUGUUUGAUUUCAGAUUCUUCAAAGGCAUAGAUUAUUAUCUACCAGACCAUACAUUUACUUGAACAUGACU